rnacentral:lncRNA from 1 species
GGGAGCUCACGCCAGAACAGAGUGGACGACGUGAACCUAGAGGGUCUCGGGUCCCAGAGGCCUGCGCGUGAGUGUGCGCCGGGGAAGCCGCUUCCGUGCGUCCCGAGGAGAUUCGUCCAAGGCUCCGUUCCUGGAGUUCCGAGAGAACCUCAAGGCCUCAGAGCUUUGAGUGGCCAGUGGUUGGACGCCCAGCAGGAUCAGAUCAGCCUUACCCAACCGCAAAGGCCUUUGGGUAAGGGAGACAGACCAAGUGGCAGGAAGACCAGGCUGUUGGUCAGUGUUUGAACAAAAAGCCUCUUCCUUCUCCAAGGUUUCCCAAAGGAGAGCAGAAAUAGGUCAAGGGCAGCCCAAGCAGCCACGUUCGCUCUCAGCCCACAAGGCCCCGACUUUGG